ensembl:lncRNA
CGUCUGUCGGUCGGAACGUCUGUCGGUGUGUGUGUCCCGGUCGGAUCGUCUGUCGGUGUGUGUGUCCCGGUCGGAUCGUCUGUCGGUGUGUGUGUUGGGGGAUCUGUAGGGAGUUGGAAAGGGCAGGGGGCACGCCACAGCAACGUGCUCUCCUGAUUGGUUGAGCUGUAGAGUGGGGGCGGAGUGAGAGAAUAGGAAGUAGGCGGAGCCUAGCAGGGAGCCAGAGGCGAGGAGGAGGAGGAAGCGCCGCAGGUGGCGACGGACAUGCACCGCUAACGACAUCACUACCUGGAGGGUCGCGAUGUAUACAUGUGUAUGUCAGGGUGUGUGUGUCGAUGGGUGUGUGUGUGUGUCAAGGUGUGUGUGUGUCAGGGUGUGUGUGUGUGUAUGUCAAGGUGUAUGUGUGUCAGGGUGUGUGUGUGUCAGGGUGUGUGUGUGUCAAUGUGUGUGUGUGUCAGGGUGUGUGUGUGUGUCAGGGUGUGUGUGUGUGUAUGUCAGGGUGUAUGUGUGUCAGGGUGUGUGUGUGUGUAUGUCAAGGUGUAUGUGUGUCAGGGUGUGUAUGUGUGUGUCUCUAUGAAGGGUUUCUAACAUGGAUGUGGUGGGGAACACUAAGGUCUGUCAUGUCACCAUGGUGAGGGUCACAGAGGGUCAGGAAGGUCAGCCUGACAUAGUGGAACUCUCUCUACACCAAUCACAACGCAGGACACACGGGGGGAGGCGACGUUUUCAGGACAGCUCCUGGACCUGUAGAGCAAGGAGACAACAUGAGGUUAGACACACGGGGGGAGACGACAGGACAGCUCC